rnacentral:rRNA from 1 species
AUUGAACGCUGGCGGCAUGCUUUACACAUGCAAGUCGAACGGUAACAGGCCGCAAGGUGCUGACGAGUGGCGCACGGGUGAGUAAUGCAUCGGAACGUGCCCAGUCGUGGGGGAUAACUACUCGAAAGAGUAGCUAAUACCCCAUACGCUCUAUGGAUGAAAGCGGGGGACCGUAAGGCCUCGCGCGAUUGGAGCGGCCGAUGUCAGAUUAAGUAGUUGGUGGGGUAAAGGCUCCCCAAGCCAACGAUCUGUAGCUGGUCUGAGAGGACGACCAGCCACACUGGGACUGAGACACGGCCCAGACUCCUACGGGAGGCAGCAGUGGGGAAUUUUGGACAAUGGGCGCAAGCCUGAUCCAGCAAUGCCGCGUGCAGGAAGAAGGACUUCGGGUUGUAAACUGAUUUUGUACGGAACGAAACGGCUCUGGUUAAUACCCGGAGCUAAUGACGGUACCGUAAGAAUAAGCACCGGCUAACUACGUG